rnacentral:lncRNA from 1 species
AGGCUGAGGCAGGAGAAUCACAAGUUGGAGGCCAGUUUCAGCGACUUCUUGAUACCUUGUCUCAAAACAGGCUGGGGAAUGAAGCUCAGUGGUAGAACACUCCUAAAUUCAGUGUCUGGUACUGAAGAAAAGAUAACUAUAGGAACACCGAGUCAGAGGAUACACUUGGGUGGUAGGUUUUAGGAAUUCCUGGCAAACUAAUAGUAAAGAAGCAAAGCAGAUAGCUACAAAAUACCACAAGCACAUUGUAUAGAAGGCGUUGUAUAGAACUUGAAACCGAGGGUCUUCAGAUCUUGGAGGCCUUGACCAUAUGCUGAGGAGCUUGCACUUAUUAUAUUGAUAAUAGGAUCCACUGAAAGAUUUCAAUCAAGGAAACGAUGUCACUUUUAGGGGGAUCUGAUUGUAGUUUGAAAUGGAGGAAAGAGGGUAGCAAAAAGAUAUAGCCCUGAACAAGGGCAGGUAUAAGAACAUUUAAUUGUGAUUAUAUAUGUGUAUAUGUAAAUAUAAAGAUGUACAUGUGUGAUCCAAAUGACAAUAGCAUCAUGACAUAA